UUUUUUUUUUUGGGUUGAAAAAUCAGAUCUGGUUUUAGUAAACCUCAAAAUUCUAGAAAACACAAGAAGAACUCAAAGAUGAUUAGAUGUAGCAGAAUAUCGGUUGAUCUGGGUUUUCCAUGGAAUAGAGAUUCUGGUAUCUAGACAUUUAAAAAUUAGCAGAGGGUAAUGGUUCUUCUCUGCAAUUGAGACGAUGGAGACGCCAUAGACACAACGUAGGAAGAAGAUGACAAAACAUAUGAUUAUUUUGUGGUCAUCUCCCCGUUGCAUCACAAGAAACUGUCUUUUGCUGAGCUGCACGAUGCAAUUAGGGUUAUUAUGUUCUUGCCCCUAAAUUGGAGUAAGUAUUUAUUUAUGGAUCAGAUUUUGGUUUGCAGUUGAAUGCAUCUUCUGGUCUGGGAGUUGCUGAUCACAGUAAAAAUACGUUUUUACAACUAAAGAGGAAGAAGGUAACGUGUAACUGUGUAGUUCCCGUAUGUUGAACACCGUCGAAGAGAAAGCCUUCUUCACAAAGCAGUAGGCGGAAUCCCGUACUUCUCUGAAACCUACAGAAGAAAUCGUUUCUUGGGUGGUCUCGGAGAACAAUUUGGAGUUCCCUUCUAUUUAUUUUCACUACAACUUUUGCAAGUUUAUGCGAAAUAGUUGAUUUGUCGCUCUAUGUUGUGUUCUUAUUUUGUGAUGGAGGACGACGUUCUUAAUUUUCUUGAGUGAAGUUUGUGUUUUUCCUCUCUGAAUUAGGGUAGAUCUCGAUGAAUAUCGUGGUUAUUUGCUGCUUAUGUUGAUGGUGUUUGGUAUAUCUUUACAAAGAUUUUUACUUUAGUAGUGUCA